AAAUUGAAGAGUUUGAUCAUGGCUCAGAUUGAACGCUGGCGGCAGGCCUAACACAUGCAAGUCGAACGGUAACAGGAAACAGCUUGCUGUUUCGCUGACGAGUGGCGGACGGGUGAGUAAUGUCUGGGAAACUGCCUGAUGGAGGGGGAUAACUACUGGAAACGGUAGCUAAUACCGCAUAAUGUCGCAAGACUAAAGAGGGGGACCUUCGGGCCUCUUGCCAUCGGAUGUGCCCAGAU
rnacentral:rRNA from 1 species